ACCUCUAUGGUGAAACUGGUAGCCGCACUUGAUUCAAAAUCAAGCUCUCGAAAGGGAAUUGUCAGUUCGAAUCUGACUAGAGGUA
rnacentral:tRNA from 1 species